rnacentral:rRNA from 1 species
CUGGUAGUCCACGCUGUAAACGAUGCUAACUCGUUUUUGGGUUUUCGGAUUCAGAGACUAAGCGAAAGUGAUAAGUUAGCCACCUGGGGAGUACGAACGCAAGUUUGAAACUCAAAGGAAUUGACGGGGGCCCGCACAAGCGGUGGAUUAUGUGGUUUAAUUCGAUGAUACGCGAGGAACCUUACCAAGGCUUAAAUGGGAAUUGAUCGGUUUAGAAAUAGACCUUCCUUCGGGCAAUUUUCAAGGUGCUGCAUGGUUGUCGUCAGCUCGUGCCGUGAGGUGUUAGGUUAAGUCCUGCAACGAGCGCAACCCCUGUUANCUAGUUGCUACCA